CCUACCGGGGGGCAGCAGUGAGGAAUAUUGGUCAAUGGGCGCGAGCCUGAACCAGCCAAGUCGCGUGAGGGAGGACGGCCCUACGGGUUGUAAACCUCUUUUGCCGGGGAGCAACGGGCGUCACGUGUGGCGCCACUGAGAGUACCCGGAGAAAAAGCAUCGGCUAACUCCGUGCCAGCAGCCGCGGUAAUACGGAGGAUGCGAGCGUUAUCCGGGUUUAUUGGGUUUAAAGGGUGCGUAGGGGAUUCGUUAAGUCAGUGGACAAAUGGAGGGGCGCAACCCCUUCCCGCCAUUGAAACUGGCGCUCUUGAGUGGAAGAGAAGUAGGCGGAAUGCGUGGUGUAGCGGUGAAAUGCAUAGAUAUCACGCAGAACCCCGAUUGCGAAGGCAGCAUGCCGGCUUCCGACUGACGCUGAAGCACGAAAGCGUGGGGAUCGAACAGGAUUAGAUACCCUAGUAGUC
rnacentral:rRNA from 1 species